rnacentral:hammerhead_ribozyme from 1 species
CUGCAGCUGACGAGUCCCAAACAGGACGAAAAGCGCAUCAAGCUGGAU